AAUUUGGCUGUGUUGUCGAAUCUUGAUUGUGGCAUUUGGUAUGUUUUGUUUUGGCCCUCGAGCUUAAUUGCCCCAAGGCAUGCAGGAUCUUAGUUCCCCGACAGGGACUGAACCCGCACCCUCUGCAAUGGAAGGCGAAGUCUUAACCACUGGACCACCAGGGAAGUCCCUAGGAAUGCCUGCAACUGCUGGUGGCACAGAGCAGAUGGAUCCAGUAGGUCACAUUUCUGCAAUCUCUUUUGGACCAUGGAGUCUUCAACUUAUGCAGUAUAUUGUGAGACCAGCAUUCCAUGGAACACUUCGGUCAAGGCUACUGUGUGAAAUAAAACAGACAAAGGACUUAGAACAGGGCAUACAGCCCUGUGUAUGCCCUUGGUAAAUACCAAAUAUUGUUGUUAAUAUUAUAGAGGGGGUUGAACUUCAAAGGCACCUCCAAGUCUAAAAAUCCAUGAUUCUAGUUAUGGUGCUAUCACGCAAAAAAAUGAUUCUAGUUAUAGUGUCACCACAAAAUAAGUGGGCUUGUUGGCUUGGGAAAAAUGAAAAAAAAAACAAAAAAAAAAGAAAUCAAAUAAUUAGUAAGGCAAGUCAAAUAAUCUCCAAGACAAACUCUAGGUUACUCAUUUCAGCGUUUGGAGGAAAGGCAUUGUCUUGGGAAGGUGGCAUAAUUCGGUGAAAUAUGGGUUGGAUCCAUGUCCUACUUGGACCUGCACGAACCAGGACCAUAUGGAAACCACCUCACUGCUUGGGUCCUGGGCUUCCUAACUGUCAAAAAUAAACAAGAGAUGAAAAUAUCUCUUUGCCA
rnacentral:lncRNA from 1 species